rnacentral:rRNA from 1 species
AGUGAACGCUGGCGGCGUGCCUAAUACAUGCCAGUCGAACGAAGUGGCGCACGGGUGAGUAAUAUAUAGUUAAUCUGCCCUACACAGAUGAACAACAGUUGGAAACGACUGCUAAUACCUCAUAUUGUAGGAUGAGACUAUAUCGUAUCAGCUAGUUGGUAAGGUAAUGGCUUACCAAGGCUAUGACGCGGAACUGGUCUGAGAGGAUUAUCAGUUACAUUGUAACUGAGAAACGGGCCAAACUCAUACGGGAGGCAGCAGUAAGGAAGAUUGCGCAAUGGGGGAAACCCUGACGCAGCAACGCCGCGUGGAGGAUGAAACUUUUCGGAGCGUAAACUCCUUUUAGCAGGAAAGCGGGACCUGAUGAAUAAGCACCGGCUAACUCCGUGCCAGCAGCCGCGGUAAUUC